UAUCCAAGUGCCUACUGUCUUAAGCUGGCCAUCUUAUCUGAUAACAAUCAUCUUCUUCCGUCGUGCAGUGCACUGUCACCCUCGUUAUUGGUCUUAUUCCCAGACCAAUAAUUCACUGUAAUCACUCACCUUCAUACUCUUGCUGGGAAAAUAAAAUGGGAGAGAUGUCUUGUAAACUGCUUUUGCAAAUUAUCGUAGUUGUCUCAGUAUUGUAUCCUAAAGUAUUGGUAAAUUGUAGUGAUUCUAAAGAUGUGAGUGAAUGGUUUUGUUAUCAAGAAUGCGUGGACGCAUAUCAGAAUUUCUCUAUCCUCUAUUCGAGCCGUUCAGAGUUGGAUAAUCGAGGAAAAGGUCUCCUAAUGGAUUGAUUUAGCGUGUUUUGAGAUCCAGGUACCUUCUACCAGUCCAGGCAUCAAUGAGUUGAGUUCGUACUCGAAGACUUCAAGGUACACCUGCCGGCGUCCGCAGUCACCCUCUAUCUAUUUCUAUAUUUUCCUCCUUUUAUUAGAUACAGUUGUAUAGGGAUGGCAAUGAUAUUGUAGAGCUUGUGACUCGAUAUCACCAGGUUUUGGAAAAAUUUUAUAUAUUGAGAUAUGGAGCAUUCUUUUAUUAAAAUUCAUUGAAUAUUUGAGAUUUUA